GACGAACGCUGGCGGCGUGCCUAAUACAUGCAAGUUGAGCGAUGAAGCUUGGUGCUUGCACCAAUUUGAAGAGCAGCGAACGGGUGAGUAACGCGGGGGGAAUCUGCCUUUGAGCGGGGGACAACAUUUGGAAACGAAUGCUAAUACCGCAUAAUAACUUUAAACAUAAGUUUUAAGUUUGAAAGAUGCAAUUGCAUCACUCAAAGAUGAUCCCGCGUUGUAUUAGCUAGUUGGUGAGGUAAAGGCUCACCAAGGCGAUGAUACAUAGCCGACCUGAGAGGGUGAUCGGCCACAUUGGGACUGAGACACGGCCCAAACUCCUACGGGAGGCAGCAGUAGGGAAUCUUCGGCAAUGGACGAAAGUCUGACCGAGCAACGCCGCGUGAGGGAAGAAGGGUUUCGGAUCGUAAAACUCUGUUGGUAGAGAAGAACGUUGGUGAGAGUGGAAAGCUCAUCAAGUGACGGUAACUACACAGAAAGGGACGGCUAACUACGUG
rnacentral:rRNA from 1 species